GAUACCCUGUUCCAGUUGAAGGUUUGUACAAAAUCACCCUUCCCCAGACCUGUCCUGAGAACGAGACUCACAGCGCAGCGGUGCUUGGAACACAGACCCCAAAGUCACGGGAAAGUUACUGUAAUAGAAUGGCCGCCACACGGGGCUCAGAUGGCUCACCAAACACAGGAUCAUUCUUUGGUUUUGACUGAGUAGAAGCAGAUGAGUCAGACCUGUCCAUGAGGACUGAGUGCAUUUUCUUCAAGAAACACGAGUGCUUUGAUAGCUUACCAAGCAUUUAAACCACUGACUGAACUCUAAGGACUUGAAGGAGAGUUUUAUGGCAGUGAAAGUGCUCCCUCCUGGGAAGUACCGCCUGCUAAGCCAUGGCGUGCUUCUGCCCCCU
rnacentral:lncRNA from 1 species